GUGAAUCAUCAAAUUUUUGAACGCAAAUUGCACUCUCCGGUUUUCCGGGAGGGUAGGCCUGUUGGGGGGUCAGCCUAAAAAAAAUCGACAUUGUUGCGGUUUUAUGGUGACUUUAGUCGAAGAUGGGUGAUCGCAGAUCUCGGUUUAAGCGACUUAAAAUUUUGUUUUACGAUGCUAAGAAUGUUUCUAAGAUU
rnacentral:misc_RNA from 1 species